rnacentral:sRNA from 1 species
AAGGCGUUCAGACUCUUAGCUGAACGCGGAGCUGCGGCGGCUAUGCUGUGGAGCGGCUGCCGGCGUUUCGGGGCGCGCCUCGGCUGCCUGCCCGGCGGUCUCCGGGUCCUCGUCCAGACCGGCCACCGGAGCUUGACCUCCUGCAUCGACCCUUCCAUGGGACUUAAUGAAGAGCAGAAAGAAUUUCAAAAAGUGGCCUUUGACUUUGCUGCCCGAGAGAUGGCUCCAAAUAUGGCAGAGUGGGACCAGAAGGAGCUGUUCCCAGUGGACGUGAUGCGGAAGGCAGCCCAGCUAGGCUUCGGAGGGGUCUACGUACAAACAGAUGUGGGCGGGUCUGGGCUGUCACGUCUUGAUACCUCUGUCAUUUUUGAAGCCUUGGCUACAGGCUGCACCAGCACCACAGCCUAUAUAAGCAUCCACAAGAAGUGGGAGUGAUGCUGCCUCUCUUCUGACCUCCGCUAAGAAACAGGGAGAUCAUUACAUCCUCAAUGGCUCCAAGGCCUUCAUCAGUGGUGCUGGUGAGUCAGACGUCUAUGUGGUCAUGUGCCGAACAGGAGGGCCAGGCCCCAAGGGCAUCUCAUGCAUAGUUGUUGAGAAGGGGACCCCUGGCCUCAGCUUUGGCAAGAAGGAGAAAAAGGUGAGUGGCUGUUGGACAGGAAACAAUUUAGGUUAUGAGACUCUGCCACCUGCCAGCCCAACUCCUGCUCUAUUUCAGAAAACAGGUUUGCAUACUUGCUAACCUACCUUUGAAGCAGUUGCUUCUAUUAGGAUUUUCAACAGGAGCAUAUGAAAUACAACAGGGCAUUAUUAAACACUAGGCCUCUGGGGAAAGUGACAAUGUUUGCCAGUAAAUUCUUCAAGCCACCUGUGAGUGUUCUGACCUCUCCUGCCUCUGCUUUUGGCCUGUGUUCCUCAUCCAGCUGCUUACGUUGGUGCACUUUGUUGCUCCAGGAAGAGACGCUUAGAGAAGACCUGGUGUUGGCCACAAGUCUCAGUAAUGGAAGGCAUGUGGUCCCUUUUUCUUCUUUGAUU